UGCAAGUCGAACGGAGUUAUUAAGACGGAAGUUUUCGGACGGAAGACUUUUUAACUUAGUGGCGGACGGGUGAGUAACACGUGAGCAACCUGCCUUUCAGAGGGGGAUAACGUUUGGAAACGAACGCUAAUACCGCAUAACAUCAUAUUAGGGCAUCCUGAAAUGAUCAAAGGAGCAAUCCGCUGAGAGAUGGGCUCGCGCCUGAUUAGAUAGUUGGUAGGGUAACGGCCUACCAAGUCGACGAUCAGUAGCCGGACUGAGAGGUUGAUCGGCCACAUUGGGACUGAGACACGGCCCAGACUCCUACGGGAGGCAGCAGUGGGGGAUAUUGCACAAUGGGGGGAACCCUGAUGCAGCGACGCCGCGUGAGGGAAGAAGGUUUUCGGAUUGUAAACCUCUGUCUUUAGUGACGAUAAUGACGGUAGCUAAAGAGGAAGCCACGGCUAACUACGUGCCAGCAGCCGCGGUAAUACGUAGGUGGCGAGCGUUGUCCGGAAUUACUGGGUGUAAAGGGAGCGUAGGCGGGAAGACAAGUUGAAUGUUUAAACUAUCGGCUUAACCGGUAGUCGCGUUCAAAACUGUUUUUCUUGAGUGAAGUAGAGGCAGGCGGAAUUCCUAGUGUAGCGGUGAAAUGCGUAGAUAUUAGGAGGAACACCAGUGGCGAAGGCGGCCUGCUGGGCUUUAACUGACGCUGAGGCUCGAAAGCGUGGGUAGCAAACAGGAUUAGAUACCCUGGUAGUCCACGCCGUAAACGAUGAUUACUAGGUGUGGGGGGACUGACCCCUUCCGUGCCGGAGUUAACACAAUAAGUAAUCCACCUGGGGAGUACGGCC
rnacentral:rRNA from 1 species